UACGUAGGGUGCGAGCGUUGUCCGGAAUUAUUGGGCGUAAAGAGCUCGUAGGCGGCUUGUCGCGUCGGAUGUGAAAGCCCGGGGCUUAACUCCGGGUCUGCAUUCGAUACGGGCUGGCUAGAGUGUGGUAGGGGAGAUCGGAAUUCCUGGUGUAGCGGUGAAAUGCGCAGAUAUCAGGAGGAACACCGGUGGCGAAGGCGGAUCUCUGGGCCAUUACUGACGCUGAGGAGCGAAAGCAUGGGGAGCGAACAGG
rnacentral:rRNA from 1 species